AUUGAACGCUGGCGGCAGGCCUAACACAUGCAAGUCGAGCGGUAGAGAGGUGCUUGCAUCUCUUGAGAGCGGCGGACGGGUGAGUAAUGCCUAGGAAUCUGCCUGGUGGUGGGGGAUAACGUUCGGAAACGGACGCUAAUACCGCAUACGUCCUACGGGAGAAAGCGGGGGAUCUUCGGACCUCGCGCCAUUAGAUGAGCCUAGGUCGGAUUAGCUAGUUGGUGAGGUAAUGGCUCACCAAGGCGACGAUCCGUAACUGGUCUGAGAGGAUGAUCAGUCACACUGGAACUGAGACACGGUCCAGACUCCUACGGGAGGCAGCAGUGGGGAAUAUUGGACAAUGGGCGAAAGCCUGAUCCAGCCAUGCCGCGUGUGUGAAGAAGGUCUUCGGAUUGUAAAGCACUUUAAGUUGGGAGGAAGGGUAGUAACCUAAUACGUUGCUACUUUGACGUUACCGACAGAAUAAGCACCGGCUAACUUCGUGCCAGCAGCC
rnacentral:rRNA from 1 species